CUCUGCUCAGAAAUGUAUGCAGACUGAAGAAAAUGUAUGUUAGUCUCAUGAGUGGCUUUGCUCUCUGUGACAGAUUAUAGCCAUUCUAUCCAAUUUUAAUCUUUUCAGUACUGGUGCUUAUGAUUUUUAAUUUUAUAAUAUUAGGACUGUGAACAUGCCAUGCAUAAAACUGAGGAUGCCCAGAUUCAACUCAUGCCUUCUUUUGGGAAGACCCAAGCACCUCUAGAACUGUCAGUGAACAGUGCAUUCUAAAAUAGGACCCUCAGCUCUGGAACUCAGCUUGAAAGGUCCUGCUUUCUCAAAUGGUCACUAAAUGCUCUCUAAGGUGGUAGGGUCAUCUGCUCCAAAUGCCUACCAACUUCCCUGUGAGAAUCAUCUUCGAUUCUGAGUCAAUGAAACCAGCAUAGAAAAGAACACUCUCUCCCUCCACCACAGAAGACCUAAAAUAUGAUGACUGGAGAAUGUCAACAGAUACCUAUCCCUCACAGGCAUUCUACACCAUAACAUGCCAGAUUUGUCUCAGGACGGAACAUCCAUGAGCACCCCUGUGAAGAAGGGAAGUACUAUUAUCUCCAUUUUAUAGAUGGGGAACUGACUAACAUAAACAGACUAAAUGUGACUUGCCCACAAUCACACAAGAAGUCUUUAGAGAGGAGAGAUUUGAACCCAAGUCACCUAUCUCUCAGGCAACGCCUAACUGAGAAGCAAAGGCUGAGACUCCCUCUCUGCUUUACCUGGCCAACUACUUUAUCACACUCACUCCCCUUUGCUCUUCAGAUGGCUCCUGCUCUGAAAAGUCAGUCUUGAGGGGAAGAGCCAUAGAGAAUGGGCACCAAAUUAAGACUCAAAGUCAGCACUGAGCUCACUUCUCCCAUAACAAAAUCAAGUCUGUGAAGAGGAGAGAGAAAAAAGAGGGGACAGAAGCUAUAAUGAAAGACAGAAACCUAAUUGGGGCUCAGGAGAAGAAGGAAUGGACAACAUGAGGGGAGAGAGAGACACACACAUUUAGGAAGAGCUCUCUGAGGAGAGGGAUGGGAAACCUUAGGGGAAGAUAGAGGUCUUUGGCCUCUGAAGAUGCCCCUGUAGUCACCUCAGCGGGAAAACAGGCUUUUCAUAACCCUCCUGAAGUAUGGAGAUUUAAAAUUAAAACAAAACUUCAUUUCCUUGCAAUUCUACUGAAGUCAGUUAGUCUACAUGGGCUUGGUCUAAAGAGGUGCUGAGCACUCACAACUCCAACUGACGUCAAUGGAAGCUGCAGGUACUCAGCUCUGCUGAGAAUCAUGCCCCAGGGAUCUAAAUAAGGAAAAACUCGCAUGGAUCUUUUCAGCAGAAUGGGCACUGAAAUGGUUUGGUUUGGUGAAACAGGUCAGAUAUCUAAGCAAAGUUGCAAGAAGCCAAUUAGCUUUGUAUCCUAAGCUUUAUUGGCAGCAGAAAGCCUGAAUCACAAGAACAUUUGGUUCUCUGGAAUUUGGAUCUCAUCGGAGAGAACCAACGCCAGCUCUAACGAGAGUGACUGCCAGUUGUUCUUCAAAGCUACAGCAACAGCAAUUACAAAUUAAGGAUCAAUAUCUGAUCAGAUUCUUAUUAUGAGAGAUACAGACUCAGAGGUGCGUAAAGCAUCUGGUCCUAGGUCAGUGGGAUAGGUGGCUGAAACUACUAGUCAGCCACUAUCUAAAGACAGAAGAAGGAUGCUUCGAGGGAAACUCCAGGACCUAAAGGGGAGGUGACAGUUGAGGGAGCACUUGGGGGUGAGGGAGUGACUUGGGAAAGACAGUGUUCCAGGGUUUCACCUCAGCUGGACACUCAAAUUCUACAGAACUCAUUUUUAUGGAUUCUGAACUUCCAAAUGAAUUGGCAUGACUGAUAAAAUGUCAGCCUCUACAAAUGAACCCAGCAGAGUGUGGUUCAUGUAAUCCUUACUAAUUGAACCCUGCUGGGUUUGGUCCACUUUGGUGAUGCCAAGUAGAAGGCCGGGGGGCGGGGGGGAGGGGAAGGGGAAGGAGGCACUUUACACACUGCACUGCUUGGGCACUCGCUCGUCACCCUAACGGCUGAUUGCCACACCUCUGCAGAGCUCUGCUCUGGCCCUCUCCAUCAGCUUCUCUGCUGGUUAUGCCUCUCAGUCAGCCGCCCUGCUAGCCGCUUACUGCACCUCUCCCCGAGUGCCCGAGCAGUGCAGCAUGUAAGGUGCCACCUUACCCUCCUUGCCUUCCACACAGAAUGGGUGGUGAACUCUGCGGAUGAACCUCUGAACUCUGGGGGCUGCACUGGCCAAGGACAGCAACUGUGAGUGGGGUACAGAAAAGGGACGGGCACGUUAAAGGGACUUUUGGGUUGCUGGACUUAAGACCCUGAGGGGAAAAGGACACUGCCCAACUUACUUGGCGGUGGGUCUUUUGCUCAUGGUUUGUGUUUAUGAACUCUCGUUGCAGUGUUUUCCCAAAUUAAUGCUGAGUUACUUCCCUCCUUUUAUUAAAAGUUUUUGAAACACUCAGACUGUGUUUGUGAGAGGGGAAGUAUUGUCUCUUAGAGG